CUGCAACUGGUUCAGAAAGACCUUGACUGAGCCUGAGCUAGCAAAUCCCAGUAAACUCAUGUAUGCUCUUUGUUGCCACAGAAGUGGUGUUAUACAAGAGCAGCUAUUGAGGCCUGACUGCACCACCUGGGUCCAGCCAAUGUAAGUAUUACUCAGCCUCCUGCUUCUGGGCUAGAGAGAUCUGCAGUGGGUUUGACCUCUCUUAAACCUUUCAGCUUAUGCAUUUACACACUGUUAUGUUUGAGCUAACCAUCCCUUUCCAUUAAAAUACUUUAGUCCUUUUCCAUUAAACUUCCCAUUUAAAGUAAUUCAUGAUUACACAUCUCCAUGACAAGAAUAGUGGAAAGUUGACUGUAUGGGCUUUUUCUUCUUAUCUUCUAAGCUUUAUCCCUUUUAAUAAGCUGGAAAGCAGAAGAAAAUUUCAGGGAACGUGCCUUUGUUAAAUGAGGAACUAGGGCUUGGUGGAAGUAGCAGCAAAUAAUUCAUCCAAAGAUAGCAGAGCUGCUCAUGAGAGGAAAAAUUUGAGAAUGGGAGCCUAACAUGACUGUGGACCUUGUCCUACCAGACACACACUGUGGAAAUCCAGACAGAAGCUGGCAUAUCUCACAUCUCAGCUGCCAGGGAGUUUUCCAGCUGUCCCAUGGCUCAGCAGAGCUUCACCUACUGCAGAGUACUCAACCAGAUCCUCCCUCCCUAUGCAAGGUUAAAAGCCAGUUUCUCUGCCAGUUUCUUCUUUUUCCAGUAAGAAAGUAAUUGCAGGCAUGUUAUGAUUUUCUUCCCUCUCACAACAAGCAAACAUAGUUUUCUCUCAUCGUGUACUCCAGAACUUGAGUAAUUUGAGAAGGUAAGGAUUAGGUUUUUGGAUUUUGUUUUUGUUUUCCCUCCCUACUUCUGAAAUUUGACAUAAAGUUUUCUGUCUGCUUACUGAGAUUUUGGGGGGGGGUAAACUGUGAACUUUUGACAUCAUCUGAGACAGCUAUAUGCUGCAAUAACUAGGUAUAGUGUGAAGUUACUGCAGUGUAGGAAGUAGUAUUUGGAAUAUCACAUGCAGUUACAUUUCCAAAAAUGUCAUAUUAACCCAAUAGAUUAGGUCAGUAUAAUUCCUUCCCAUUGACUCCAGAAAGC
rnacentral:lncRNA from 1 species